rnacentral:rRNA from 1 species
AACGAACGCUGGCGGCAGGCUUAACACAUGCAAGUCGAACGCCCCGCAGGGGGAGUGGCAGACGGGUGAGUAACGCGUGGGAAUCUACCGUACCCUACGGAACAACAGUUGGAAACGACUGCUAAUACCGUAUACGCCCUACGGGGGAAAGAUUUAUCGGGGUAUGAUGAGCCCGCGUUGGAUUAGCUAGUUGGUGGGGUAAAGGCCUACCAAGGCGACGAUCCAUAGCUGGUCUGAGAGGAUGAUCAGCCACAUUGGGACUGAGACACGGCCCAAACUCCUACGGGAGGCAGCAGUGGGGAAUAUUGGACAAGGGGCGCAAGCCUGAUCCAGCCAUGCCGCGUGAGUGAUGAAGGUCUUAGGAUUGUAAAGCUCUUUCACCGAUGAAGAUAAUGACGGUAGUCGGAGAAGAAGCCCCGGCUAACUUCGUGCCAGCCGCCGCCGUAAGAC